rnacentral:rRNA from 1 species
UACAGAGGGUGCUAGCGUUGUUCGGAAUCAUUGGGCGUAAAGGGCGUGUAGGCGGUUUGUUAAGUCAUGUGUGAAGUCCCUCGGCUCAACCGGGGAAGGACGCAUGAAACUGGCAAGCUAGAGUACCAAAGAGGGGGGUGGAAUUCCCGGUGUAGCGGUGAAAUGCGUAGAUAUCAGGAGGAAUACCGAUGGCGAAGGCGGCGUUCUGGACUGCAACUGACACUGAGGAACGAAAGCCAGGGGAGCAAACGGG